UGUCAGCUCCUGGGUAGGUGAGUUAUCAGCUCCGUGGUCUCACAGUAUGGUGGCCCAGCAGAAGGUUUUGUGUUGCACAGGGUUGCCUUGUGCUGCCAAUUACCCAAGGCUCUGGACAGCAAGCUGUACGGCAGUGUGAUUAAGUCCGUGUGCAAGUCCAAAUUUGCAUAACCCCAAAACUCCUGUUAGGAAAGUAUUGCGAAGAAUAUUUGACUCGUCCUCGCCCUACGUUUUCAAAAUAUAAAAUAAAAGUGUGAUCAUCUUUUUAUUUUUAUCAUUUGAACAACUUUGUGAAUUACCUUUGAGAUGCAGAGGAAUAGUACACUAUGGAAAAACUUAGCUAAAUACAUACCAAAAGUGGUGUUUUCACACAGCUCUCGUCUUUCUUUAACACGGAGUGCAAAUUCUCUUUGUCUAACACAGUGGCUCAGCUCCCCACCAGCUGCAGAGCUGGGAAUCUUUGGUGGAGUCAGUGGGAUUAUGCCAAUCCACGCCAGUUGAGGACCUCAUCUGCCUCGCUUCAAAGUCGUGUGUUUUCAGAAAUGAGUGGACACAUUCCUGUAGGAGAAAUCCACGGAAUGCUGUUGAGCAAAAAGACGCUGCCUCUGAUGUAGGAUGUUCUCGCACUGGUUGCUGGAGAUGGGGAAACAUCUGGGCAAAACAAUGUUUCUGUGGGUUUUGUGGUCAUUCUUGAGUGGGUGCUAUUACUGUUAGACACGUAGCGUACACAGCUUUAGCUUGGCUUGCUGAGUUCCCUCUCACAUACUUUCUGAUUUUGCUGUUGUGGCUACUGGCACUGGUUUUGGGACAGCUCUCCAGUCUGCUGCAUGAGUUUUAUAGUCUUGGUAUUUCACAGUUUCACAGGUGUUAAGAUGUCAGCACAAUGUCACCAGCAGCUGUUCUUUACGUACAAAGGGACUGCACCGAUGGGUAGUGUGAUAUGGUGGGGCAGAACAUGGUCUGAGGAGCCAAGCAGAGUGACAUCCACGUCCAGAGGUACCUGGCUUAGCAUGACAGAGGGCACAGCAUCGUGCAGAUAAAAUGUGCUGGCUGCCCCCCUUUUCCAGGAGCAUCACCACCAUCACAGUGCCACUGCUCUGCAAGCACAGCAAGCACCGGGUGCUGGCCCAGCUUUGGAAGGACUGUGUGUAGGGAGAUGCAGCAAUGUUCAGUUUUCACUUCCCUAAAGGUGCUCCUGCUCAUUUUUCCCCUCCUUUUCCUACAAGUGCUUUGCCUGUACUCCACUGAGAAGACUUCAGAUGCAGCAUGGUUAAUACAGGUUUGGUCUGGUGUAAACCUUACCACAGUCAGCUCCCGCGUUCCUUAUUUCCAUUUCUACACAGGUGGGAGCUUGGAAAAGUCAUUUGACUCCCUUGCUUCAAUGUAGCUUUAACUAAAACAGCAUUUUACCUGGUGGCCUACCUUUCAGUGUACAGAACAAGUCUGUUGUGAGUGGUGCUGGAGCAAUUCACAGGCCCUCAGUGCAACAGAUGCUGUCGGUGAAUGGAGGAGCCUGGAAUUUGUGAGUUGGUCUUUCGAGCCAGCUGCUACGUGACGCAACAGGAGCAGUUCCUUUAAAGGAGAAACCAACACCGGGAUGCUGUCCAGAAGGCUUCACGUCUCUUUCUUUCACUGGCAUACGAAGCAGCUCUGCAGAAUGUCCACGCAAGAGUGGCUGGAUGUAACCCCUGGCAAGAUGUUCUCCGUUUGCUUGUCCUGUUGGAGAAGGGAGCCAGAUGAGCCUGUCCUGCUGGACUAAUCCUGCCUUGGCUUCGCUGCCUCCUGUUGAAUGUGCCAGAGGCAGCGUCCUCGCUGAGUUCUGCGCUGCGGGCUCACCUCUGCCCUUCCUGGAGACGAGGCAGCGGGGAGAACAGGAGUCCCAGCCCACGCAGCCAGACUCGGGAUGCUGCCACGUUGGAGCAGUUAGGAAGCAGCAGCGUUGCCGGCCCGUUAGUCUGAGCAUAGCAGCGAGCAAAGCCAGUUCAGUCAGUAGCUUCCUCGUGCAUAUUUCUGCUGGUAUUUAGAAAGAGAGGGAUGAAAGAGACCAGGAUCCAAACCUGCACGGUGUUGGUCACUGCAGACCUUUGUGCCAUCCAUGGACGUGAAGCAGCGUUGGGCCAGGAGCAACACACACAGGGCAGUGACCACAGGCAGGAAGCUUGGUGAUGGGAACCUCUCUGCUCUUGGCCCAGGCAGCUGCUCCUGCUGGCUUCUGGACUUAAGACUUGAGUCUUCAAAAGGUCCCUUCCUGAAGCAUUGUGAGGCUCCCAAAGGUGAAUAUUAAUGAGCAGCGGUACCUGGGCUCCUCGGCACUUUAAUUACAGGAUUUCACACAAAAAGGUACCAGCAUUAUACAUUGCGAUCUUGCUGUGAAGCAAACAGUCCAUCGUAUUGCACGCCAAGCCCCUAAGAAAACCAAUGAACCCAGAUUAUGCUAAAUUGUGUGGAAGCAAAGAAGAAAACAUGGUGCCUUCCUCGGCAAGCUUACUCUGUGCAUGUAAAAGAGAACCAUCAAGAGAGCAGCUCUGCUGGUAUGAAGAUGGGAGGAGAUGAGCCAGGAGGGGAUCUGGAGGAGCUCUCUGCAGUCGCAGCGUGGUGGAAAGGCUGCAGUGCUCCUUGCAUUGGGUACGGUGAGUGCUUUGUCGUGGAGGUGUGUGCAAGUUUCACCUUGGUGUUGCUCCCAUACAGCACUGACUGUAAAUGUUAUUCUUACUCUUGUUUGGACUCACGUCUGAUGCUUCCACACCAAGAAGUAGGCACUAAUUCCAGAGAGAGUCCCACAUUUGCAGGUCUUCAGGUUAGCAUACUGAGUGCACCAUUUCAACUUACAAGCGUUUACCAUUUUAAGUGGAAUUUUCUUUAUAUGGACAAAUAUUUUCUGGCCUCGACACCGCUGACAAAUGAUGACAGAUAGAAAGACUUAUAAUAGAAGUAAGCAAGUGCUAUGACAUCUUCAGGGUAAUUUGAAGUGAAAAUAUUCAGACCAUUAGUAAUAACUUACAGGUAAAAUUAUUACACAAGUAUAUUACGAGCAAGAUUACAUUCAGUAUUAAUCACAGAGAGUAAGUACAUACAGCUAUCUUGUUGCUCCUGCCCUGGCAUUUAAUGACAUUUUGAUAUACAUAACGUAUGAACAACAAAUGUGUAAAAGAAAAUCAUUGAUAUACAGAAGAGGAAUUACCACGGUGAUGGGUAUGUGGCACAUAAAGAAGGAAACUUGAAUUCUCCAAGAAAGCAACUGCGCUCUAUCAGGUAAAAUACUGUCAAAUAACAUGAAAAUUUCAGCUUGAUUGCCUAUAACAAAAAAAAAAAAAGGUUUUCAGAUGCUAUGGAAUUCUAUCAGACAAGCUUAA